UGAAGUUUAGAUUAAUAGAGAUUGUGUGACUGUUAAUCACAAGGUGCAGGUCAUUGUAGCUUCAG
rnacentral:tRNA from 1 species